AAAGGUGGCCGUGGGUGAAUGA
rnacentral:miRNA from 1 species